ensembl:lncRNA
AGUUGUGCUUGCACCAUUGCACGAAGUCCUCCACCAGGCCCACAUACUCCCCUCCCUGACCAUCCCUGACACACCCCACUGUUGCAGUGUCAUCUGAAAACUUCUGCAUGUGGCAAGACUCUGUAUUGUAACAGAAGUCAGAAGUGUACAGGGUGAACAGAGCAGGAGGGAGCAUGGUUCCCUGUGGUGCUCCGGUGCUGCAGACCACACUGUCAGACAGGCAGUCCUUCAGUCUGACACACUGUGGCCGCCCUGUCAGCUUGUCUCCCAGUCUGAGGGGUUGGAUGUUGUUAAAAGCACUGGAGAAAUCAAAGAACAUGAUUCUCACAGCACUUUCUCCCUUGUCCAGGUGACUAUGCGUCCUAUGCAGCAGGUAUGUGAUCGCAUCGUCCACUCCUACCUUAUCCUGGGAUGCGAACUGUAGUGGGUCCAAUGCGUGUCGUACCUGAGGUCUGAGUAUGUGCAGUAGCAGUCUCUCCGUGGUUUUCAUUAUGUGUGACGUGAGGGCUACCGGGCUGAUUGAUUGUUAUUCAUUUCAAAAGCCUGAUGUUUCUGGGGGAGAAUUAAAGGUUGAUACUUCUAAAACAAUCCUGUUUUUCACCCAUGGUGAGGCCAAAAAGACGGGAUGACGACAGCACCACUGAGGACUUCUCAUUUGUCCGAGCGGAUUUUUUUGUCAACUGGCCUCUCCCCAUUUCCUUCAUUCUUGCACCCAGAGCUUUUCUGUCGCCUCUCUCUGCUGCCGCAGCAAACGAGGGUCAGAGGAGCUUCAUCAAUUAGCAGCCUGUGUUCAGCACUCUGCAGCUAUCCUGCUUUGACAGAGUGAUCGAUCUCCAGUCUGCACACACAUUGCAUCAACCCCCCCAAGACAGAAGCAACCAGCAGACAAAGCUGUUGGACUUCAGAGCAAAAAGUCUCACAUUUACGGUGGCGCUGAAGUGCAAAACACAACAGCAAAUAGGAAAACACAACGACAUUAACUCCUUACGGAAAGGGGAGGGCCUUAUAGCAGAUAGCAGAGGACGGACCCUUUUGAUUGGACAGACGGACUGUCUGUCUUUUAACCCUCUUAAUCCGAAGCCUUUCGCCGGCGACGAAAAGUGACAUGAAGGAUUCAAAUGGCCGUGACUCCUUUAACUAUUUGCACAAUCGGAGCGCGGGACGCUGCGGCCGACACAGCUCGGCGACCGGAGUCCGAUUCCUUGGCGUGACUGUCUCGCUCAAUGCGUGACACUUGAGAGCCCUG